rnacentral:tRNA from 1 species
GCCCCGGUGGCGAAACCUGGAUAUCGCGGCGGGCCGCUAACCUGACGGAUAUGGGUUCAAAUCCCAUCCGGGGCA